UGGGGAAUCUUGCACAAUGGGGGCAACCCUGAUGCAGCGACGCCGCGUGAGCGAUGAAGCCCUUCGGGGCGUAAAGCUCUUUCGACCGGAACGAUAAUGACGGUACCGGGAGAAGAAGCUGCGGCCAACUACGUGCCAGCAGCCGCGGUAAUACGUAGGCAGCAAGCGUUGUUCGGAGUUACUGGGCGUAAAGAGUGCGUAGGCGGUUUUCUAAGUUCGGUGUGAAAUCUCCCGGCUUAACUGGGAGGGUGCGCCGAAGACUGGGAAGCUGGGAUGUGGGAAAGGCAGGCGGAAUUCCUGGUGUAGCGGUGAAAUGCGUAGAUAUCAGGAGGAACACCGGCGGUGUAGACGGCUUGCUAGACCAUAACUGACGCUGAGGCACGAAAGCGUGGGUAGCAAACA
rnacentral:rRNA from 1 species